rnacentral:siRNA from 1 species
GGAGAAAUUGCGAAUUAAACUGAG